GUAGGCAUGGAGAACUAGGUACUAUUUAACGAAAAUCGUGAUUUAAUAGCAUGUUUUAUGUGGCUUGUUGGUUUCUCUUUUUAAUUUAGAGUAGUCGUUAUGUUUGAGAUCUUCAUUACAUUUCACGUACCAGAACUCACUGUUCUUUCUUAAGUUGGAACCUGAGGGCUUUUCUAAUUCCCAAAUGCCUGGCAGAGGUAGAAUAGCUGGAUGAGAACCUGGGAGGAAAAAUUACAGGAGGUGUGGCAUGGUCAGUCAGAGGAGGAUAUGGGUAUUUCGGCAGCACCAGACUUUAAGGGAUGACAGAGAUAUCACAUUAAAGUAACCAUGCAGAACUGGAAAUACGUACUUGGAGCUUCCCCCACCCCAGGAAGUUUCCAGUAUACUGGCACUUGCUCAGUGUCUGAAGAGAUAAGUAUCUACAUGAUUGGCAUAUGUUCUAGGCUUUAUCCAUAGUCAGGAAGUGUUUUCCACCCUACAAGUUCCCCUUGAAUUCAUUGGAGGUACAAUUGUAUGAUACAAAUUUACUGAAUGAACUAAGCUAAUGAAUAAAUGUAUAAGUCUUUAAUAUCAGUUCCUUUACUUGUCUUUAAAGUUUAUAUCAAUAUGUACUCCUGGAUUCUUAUUUUAUCUAAUGAGAUAGAAUCUACUACUAAUAGUCUGUUUUGAAGCUCAAAUUGUUUGCUUUGCCCUGUGGGGGCUCCUUCAAGAUGGUUGCUGUCCUUUUGACAUGUGCUUUUGAUUAUUUGAAUACUUUGUUGCUUCUUUAUAUAACAAAAUGUUCCAAUUUUAUCUUACUUUUUCCCCAGCUCUGGAAUCUGCCUCCCCACCCCCACCAAGGAACCCUGUUCCCUUUUGUGAAGAAUCAUAUUUAGAAACCAAGAUAGGAUAUUUUGACUUAUUUAUUGCUGUUAGUGGGCCAUUAUUUCUAAGUCUUUUCAGUGGACAGACCUAGGAAAUAUGUGUGUAUAUAUAUGUAAUAUAUUAACUACCUUUAUAUAUAUUAAAAAUGAUUUCAUGCUGAUACUUCCCAUUAAUAUCACAAAUCCCUUUACUUUUCAUAAGAAGAGAUAAUCACUGGCUUAUUUGUGAACAAAAUACUAACAUUUUUGAAGAGAUCUGAAAAGUAAUAAUAUUGAUCUCAAAGCCCAUUCAAAUAAGUUUUAUUAAUAUUUAAACAUAGCAUAUAUUAGAAUCUUAGAUAUUGGAGGAAGACAUUAUCUAGGACUGUGAUCAAGAUGUUAUACCGUAGACUCUUGAAGUCAGUUUCUGGAUCUGUGUUGAAAUAGAAAAAUAAGAUAAAAGGGUAAAAGAUUGUCUUAAUCCUUCUCAACAUUGUUAACUACACGGAGAAAGCGUAUUAAGCAUGCAUGACACCCAGAAUCUUGAAAUGAAUGCAUAUUUAUGAGAGGAGUAUAAACAAAUAAGGAAGUGUUACAGUGACAUAGUGACACUACCUACUGGGAAAAAUACUAGUGUUUCUCAUUGGAUAAAUAUGUGGAUACAGUCCUAAUACUAGCCAUUCCACUUAGCAAUAGCUUGACUAUUAUUUGACUACUAAUGAGAAUAACUUGGCCAGAGAUGAAGAGGAGGAGUUGUGAACAUCUAAACAAUGGGACUUGCAUCAUAAAAGCCCUAGGGCUAUGUAAUCUAGUUCUUACAGACUUUUCUCCCAGGAGACUUGGAGAACUUUUCUCUAAUGGUCUGUGUCUCCUCCACUAGGUUGAAAACCAGAGCCUCUCUACCUGGUUUACUAAUCCCAAAGAUUAAUUCAGUAGAAGUCCUCGCUUAUUUUUACUGGUUCCUUUGCUUUAUCUGGGAAAAUAAAGUGUAAAAAGUAUAGUUGAUGGUUUAGAGUUUGUUUUAUGUGUAUAGUAAAUCAAAGAUCCCCAUUUUAAUACGGCAUCCUCUAUGCACUUGCUAAAUACUCCCUUGUAAUAAUUUAAUGACCUGAAAAUGAUGUAAAUAUAUAUACGUAUAUACUCAUGUUAUUUUUAACUUCAGAAAUCAGUGUCUUAAAAGUGAAUACCUGAAGAACUACCACUGUCAUUAGAAAAAUUUUUUGACCAGUGUUUGAAGGUAAAAUUAAGUAACACUGAAUAAGGAGUUAUUAUGUGAUAUACAUCAUAUGUAUUACAUUUUACUUAUUUAUCAAAACUAUGUAUUUGCUAGAGCUCUUAUUAUUCCCAUUUUAUAGAAGAAGAAACUGAGAUUAUAUACUUUAUUGAACUUGGUCAGCCUCUUGUAACUAAUACAUAAUAGAGAUAGGAUUUAGGGGCGCCUGGGUGGUUCAGUCGGUUAAGUGUCCAACUUCGGCUCAGGUCAUGAUCUCACGGUCCGUGGGUUCGAGCCCCGUGUCGGGCUCUGUGCUGACUGCUCAGAGCCUGGAGCCUGCUUCAGAUUUUGUGUCUCCCUCUCUCUCUGACCCUCCCCUGUUCAUGCUCUGUCUCUCUCUGUCUCAACAAUAAAUAAACAUUAAAAAAAAAUUUUUUUUAAUAGAGAUAGGAUUUAAAGCCACAUAUGUUUGAUUCUAGACCCCAUACCGUCUUGAGUGCAUCACAUAAAACUUUGCACUGUCCUUGGCGAAAAACAACUUUUGCUAAGUUGAUUCCUUACUUUGUGGUCCAUAAAGGAAGGAUGUUGGUCUAUCUUAGCGAUCUCUAUAUUUUUAAUAAGCAAUAAAUAAUAUUCACCACACAUAAUAGCUUUUUUCAUGGUCUGUAUUCAUUAUUGCAAAAUAACUAUGACUCAGUGAUGCUUUGAACUUAAUUUUAUUCAUUAAAAUACAUCUGUAUAUGCAUAUGAAAAUACCAGUUGUGACAACAGAAUAGAGAGUUUUGUUUUGAAAGGUAACUUAAUUUGUAACUGAUAAUUGACCAUAAGUAGAUUAUGAAGGUAUAGAAAACAUAUAUGUGGGUAAAAGUUGGCCUGGAGUUAAUUUUUUUCUUUCUUUUUUUAAUAGAGUUGUUGCCAUUAAACUUUUUUGUUGAAGUAUCAUCAACAUACAGUGUUAUUAGUGUCAGGUGCACAAUAUAACGAUUCAAUAAUUCUGUACAUUACUCAGCACUCAUCAUGAUAAACAUACUCUUAAUCCCCCUUAUCUGUUUCACUCUUCCCCUACCCACCUCCCUUCUGGUAACUACCAGUUUGUCCUUUGUAUUUAAGAGUCUGGUUUUUUGUUUGUCUCUUUUUCUUUGUUCAUUUAUUUUGUUUCUUAAAUUCCACAGAUGAGUGAAAUCAUGUGGUAUUUGUCUUUCUCUGCAACUUGCAUCCAUAUCUUGGCUAUUGUAAAUAAUGCUGCAGUAAACAUAAGGGUGCCUGGGGUCAUCUUAAAUGAACUUUAUCCAAAAGGGCUGCCUAAUAAGCAGUAGGAUCCCAUCAGAGAGUCCAUGAAGAGAUGAACUGAGAACCAAAUCACAAUGAAGUGCAGGGGAGAGGAUGCUUACCAAUGAAUGGAGAGAGAAGUAAUGAUCUGAAAACCCUGCAAAGAACUGAAACACCCUGCAACAGAAAAACACAAGAGUCAGCUUUGACACCUGUCAAACCAGAGAGCAAUGAUGGCAGCUUACAAAAGUACCAGCCUAUGCCUUCAUCUCUCCUCCAUCCACCAUCUUGAAGCCUGGCGUGAUCAGAAACAGUACAAGUUAGCAAUUUCAGAGAGGAAGAAAGACAAGUUUGAAAAGUAGGGGAAUAUCUGUCCAAGCCAUACUGUACCCUGCAGGCCUGCCUUCUGUUGCAUAGCUGAUUAGCCUACAGCACAUCUGAAGAGGGAGAAGCCGUCUUGCCUCUAUGACUAGACAGGCAUGAGGAUAAAAUCUCUGUGAGGAUAAUGGAACAAAGUUGUAGAAGGGGCCUAGAGUCCCUUCCUUUGGACUUCUUGUUAUGUGAGGAAAAUAAAAUGCUACUACAAGGUUAA